rnacentral:rRNA from 1 species
AUACGGAGGGUCCGAGCGUUAUCCGGAAUCAUUGGGUUUAAAGGGUCCGUAGGCGGGAAUCUAAGUCAGUGGUGAAAUCUUGCAGCUCAGCUGUAAAAUUGCCAUUGAUACUGGAUUUCUUGAAUUAGUGUGAAGUGAUUAGAAUGUGUAGUGUAGUGGUGAAAUGCAUAGAUAUUACACAGAAUACCAAUUGCGAAGGCAGAUCACUAACACUAUAUUGACGCUGAGGGACGAAAGCGUGGGGAGCGAACAGGAUUAGAAACCCCAGUAGUCC